rnacentral:antisense_RNA from 1 species
CCUGAGAAUGUUUCAAGGUCACCAAAAGCUUUCUGAAAAUGCUUUUCUGCAAAGAAGGUUUCCAGGUACCAUUGUCUUAAAGAAAUCUCUGCGAGAGAGUCAACAUUGUACACUCUAAGCUCUAGAGCUAUAUUUUGUAAAAGCAAAAAAGGUUUCCCUGCUUCACUUUGCCUACAGGACCCCCUUCUGAUGAACUCCACUCAGGCCUUGUUCCUGGAGCCCUCUUCCUCUGGCUGCAAUCCAGAGCAAGUUGCUGUCUGGACUUGUUGAAAAACUGUUGUCCUGAGACUUCUCUUCAAAUUCUAAGUAAAAAUUUACUUUUUCUCAGAAUUCUAAACCCAAUCAAAUAAUCAAGUGUAAGGGCAAAAUAGAUACAUUCAAAGCCUCAAAAAAUGUAUCUUGCAAAUACUCUAGGAAGCUACUGGAAGAAAGGCUUCAGCAAAUAAAGGAAGUAUAUGAAGAAAGAAAGAAGCAUGGCACAUUGCUAUCUUAACUAAUAAAAAUCUCUGAACUUUUUGGUCCUGUCUGAGGAGGCAAAAAUGCUACUUGCUGCAAAAACGACACCAUUUAUCACACUGCAACAAAAGCAAUGUAUAGGCAUACUUGGGGAUAUGUGAGUUUGAUUCCAGACUACUUCAAUAAAAUGAAUAUUG